UCCAAAUUGAACUUAAAUAUAGUUUCGUUGCGUCGCCAUUAUUCAUUCCCGUUCGAAAUUUGGUGGCGUUUAAACGUGUGCUCGGUUAAUAUAAGAUUACUUCUAUUUUGACAUUUCCACCAACAAUAAUGGAUCAGCAGCGCAGAGAGGAAAACACCGAAGAAGUGGCCCACGAACCGGCCAAAGAGAAGGUUGAUGGAGUCGCCAACGAGUCUGCUAAGGAGAAGCCCGAACAAGAAGAGGAGGAUAAUUGCUCGCAGAAAUCGGAUACGGAGAACGAAGAAAAUAAAUAUGGCGAGAAUUAAUCAAAUAAAAGCUUGAUGUUAAACAAAUUGAAGUGGAACAAUAAAAGAAAAUAACAUUAAUUAA